UUUCUGUAGGUGAACCUGCGGAAGGAUCAUUAUCGAGUUUGAAAGGAGUUGGUGCUGGCCUUCCGAGGCAUGUGCCCGCUCCUGUCAGAUCCAACUCAACACCUGUGCACAUCAGAGGGCGCGAGUGGUCUGUCCCUUGCCAACGGGCCUCGAUUCCUCCGUGGGUCGAGGCUUGGAGGGGUGGAUCCUGGCGACCUCCUUCACAUCACAAACUCUUGAACGUAUCCAGAACGUGUAGCAGCCCUCGUGUGGGGCAGUCUUAAUUACAACUUUCAACAACGGAUCUCUUGGCUCUC
rnacentral:misc_RNA from 1 species